GUAAGACGCGCUAUUUUGUUGUCAUCACAUCCCUGAAAUUACACACGCAGAGAUGUAUUUCGGCCACCCCACCUUGGAGUGGCCUUUU
rnacentral:sRNA from 1 species